rnacentral:rRNA from 1 species
GCCUUUUGAAAAAUAAUUUAAGGUCUGACCUGCCCACUGAAUUUUAAAGGGCCGCGGUAAUUUGACCGUGCUAAGGUAGCAUAAUCAUUAGUUUUUUAAUUGAAAGCUAGAAUGAAUGGUUGGAUGAAAAAAUAACUGUCUUUAUUUAAUUUAUAUUGAAUUUUAUUUUUAAGUUAAAAAGCUUAAAUAAGUUUUAAAGACGAGAAGACCCUAUAGAGUUUGAUAAAUUAAUUUAUUAAUAUUUUUAGUAAUAUUAUUUUAAUAAAUAAGUUUUAUUUGGUUGGGGUGAUUGUAAAAUUUAAAAAACUUUUAUUGUUUUAUACCAUAAAUUUAUGAUUUUUUGAUCCAAGAAUAUUGAUUAUAAGAUUAAAUUACCUUAGGGAUAACAGCGUAAUUUUUUUUAAGAGUUCAAAUCGAAAAAAAAGUUUGCGACCUCGAUGUUGGAUUAAAAUUAAUUUUUGGUGUAGAGGCUAAGAAUAUUAGGUCUGUUCGACCUUUGAAAUUU